ensembl:lncRNA
GGUUAAUGGUUGCUAUUAGCUCAAAAACCACUAAGGCUAUCUGUUUAGUAAGGGGUUUAAAGCAAUCAGGUAGUGCUCCAGCUCAAACAAUUCUCGCCGUGCGACCUUGGCAACGAACCAGCGGGUCAGCGCACAUCCGGCUCAACAACGGUCUGUGCCGCGGACCAGACGGAGGGGUCCGUCAGGGCGGUCCACUCCCAUUGGAAGGGUACCGGGAUCGAUUCCCCGAUGUCUUUCUUUAGAAAGCAAAGAUGGUUGGCGUGAGGGAACUCAGAACCCAACUCCCUCCCUGGACGAGCCGUCGACCAUAGCCUCGGGGUUAAGAUUCUUCGACUCCCAGCCGAAGUGUUCCGGGUUCAAUCCCUGACCUAGACACGCCCGCUCCUUACAACCUGUAUCUGUAUCCCCUGUCACUUUGGACUGCUGUGUCUGCGGAAAUGGAUAAAAAGCACAAAUGGCAAACAGCAAAAAAAUGAAUAAACAUGUGUGGGGAGUUCUCCACUGAAUUCCUGGAGCGG